UGAGGAAUAUUGGUCAAUGGGCGCAAGCCUGAACCAGCCAUCCCGCGUGCAGGAAGACGGCCCUAUGGGUUGUAAACUGCUUUUCCAGGGAGAGAAACUUGCGCACGUGUUGCGCAAUUGACGGUACCCUGGGAAUAAGCAUCGGCUAACUCCGCGCCAGCAGCCGCGGUAAUACGGAGGAUGCGAGCGUUAUCCGGAUUCAUUGGGUUUAAAGGGUGCGUAGGCGGACUACUAAGUCAGUGGUGAAAUCCUGCAGCUUAACUGCAGAACUGCCAUUGAUACUGAUAGCCUUGAGUUUGGUUAAGGUAGGCGGAAUGUGUAAUGUAGCGGUGAAAUGCUUAGAUAUUACACAGAACACCAAUUGCGUAGGCAGCUUACUGAGCCGACACUGACGCUGAGGCACGAAAGCGUGGGGAUCGAACAG
rnacentral:rRNA from 1 species